CCUACGGGAGGCAGCAGUGGGGAAUAUUGCGCAAUGGGCGAAAGCCUGACGCAGCGACGCCGCGUGAGGGAUGAAGGUCUUCGGAUCGUAAACCUCUGUCAGCAGGGAAGAACGGUCACUGUGCUAAUCAGCAGUGAAUUGACGGUACCUGCAAAGGAAGCACCGGCUAACUCCGUGCCAGCAGCCGCGGUAAUACGGAGGGUGCGAGCGUUAAUCGGAAUUACUGGGCGAAAAGCGCUCGUAGGCGGUAUGUCAAGUCAAGGGUGAAAUCCCCGCGCUCAACGUGGGAACUGCCUUUGAAACGGGCAAACUGGAGUGUGUGAGAGGAUAGUGGAAUUCCAGGUGUAGGAGUGAAAGCCGUAGAUAUCUGGAGGAACAUCAGUGGCGAAGGCGACUAUCUGGCACAUAACUGACGCUGAGGAGCGAAAGCGUGGGUAGCAAACAGGAUUAGAUACCCCAGUAGUC
rnacentral:rRNA from 1 species